GCAUCGAUGGUGUAGCGGUAGCACGCGUGCCUUCCAUAAAAGGCUGUGCCAUAGCACGCGAUCCGGGUUCGACUCCCGGUCGAUGCA
rnacentral:tRNA from 1 species